GACGAACCGUGCAAACGUUAUUCGGAAUCACUGGGCUUAAAGGGCGCGUAGGCGGGCGGUCAAGUCAGGGGUGAAAUCUUUCGGCUCAACCGGAAAAGUGCCUUUGAUACUGGCCGUCUGGAGGGAGGUAGGGGCGUGCGGAACUUUGGGUGGAGCGGUGAAAUGCGUAGAUAUCCAAAGGAACACCGGUGGCGAAAGCGGCGCGCUGGACCUCUACUGACGCUGAGGCGCGAAAGCCAGGGGAGCAAACGGG
rnacentral:rRNA from 1 species